GCCGGGCGCAGUGGCGCGUGCCUGUAGUCCCAGCUAUUCAGGAGGCUGAGGAUGGAGGAUCUCUUGAGUCCAGGAGUUCUGGGCUGUAGUGCGCUAUGCCGAUCAGGUGUCUGCACUAAGUUUGGCAUCAAUAUGGUGACCUCCCGGGAGCGGGGGACCACCAGGUUGCCUAAGGAGGGGUGAAACAGAGCAGGUCAAAACUCCCGUGCUGAUCAGUAGUGGGAUCACACCUGUGAAUAGCCACUGCACUCCAGCCUGGGCAACAUAGCGAGACUCUGUCUCU
rnacentral:SRP_RNA from 1 species